UAUUGUAGGUCCUUGAAAGAGGAUCUAUGUUUUUCAUAUCACACCCAUCGUAUGUCUAUAGAAUGUAUUGAAAUAAUAAAUCAUACAACUUUCAGCAACGGAUCUCUUGGCUCUCGCAUCGAUGAAGAACGCAGCGAAUUGCGAUAAGUAAUGUGAAUUGCAGAUUUUCAGUGAAUCAUCGAAUCUUUGAACGCACCUUGCGCUCCUUGGUAUUCCGAGGAGCAUGCCUGUUUGAGUGUCAUUGAAUCCCUCAAACCCAUGUCUUGAUUUUCAUGGGCUUUGGACUUGGGGGCUGCUGGUGGCAAAAGCUGUCAGCUCUCCUCAAAUGCAUUAGCAAAGGACUAGCAAGUCUCUGACGUGCACGGCCUUCGAUGUGAUAAUGAUCGUCGUGGCUGGAGCGUUGGACAUGCAGGAAUCGUCCGUGCUUCCAAUCCUGGGCUAGCCUCGAGUUUGGUCGCUCAGCUAUUAGUUCGGUCGCAAGGCCAACGAACAUUGGGCAGGCCGAGCUCAGGCUUGUCUUUCUUUGAAACUUGACCUCAAAUCAGGUAGGACUACCCGCUGAACUUAAGCAUAUCAAUAAGCGGAGGAAAAGAAACUAACAAGGAUUCCCCUAGUAACUGCGAGUGAAGCGGGAAGAGCUCAAAUUUUAAAUCUGGCAGUCUCU
rnacentral:rRNA from 1 species